CUUCAUGCUGCAAAAGUGAGUGACUUUGAGCAGGCUUUUUGCCAUAUCUGACAAUUCCAUUCUCCGAUACCCCAGGAUAUGCUUAAGCAAGUGAACUGCAUUGCUACUGGUCAAAAUUCCAGAGACCAGUUUCCUGUGGUGGACAAUUGCAGAGGGGAGGAAGUGCUCUAUGUUUGCAGCCCAGGAGAAAGAACAUUUGUGACGAAUCACACCUGAGACUGAAAUGCCAAAUGCAUGAAAGACACAUUAAACUGUUACACAGCCUAGAAGUAAUCUGAACUGACACAGACUUUGGUAACAGUCCUCAAUGUGUAACACCACUCCAAAAGAUGUCACUUCAGUAUCAGUGCAUAUGUGAAGAAAGAAAAUCCAUGAAAGAAAGAAAAAUAUGUACAAGAUAAAAAUGUACUACCCUCAUGUGAAAAUAUUAACACAAAGAAUCUACAACCAACUGUGUAGGACCUCAGCAGCCAACACGUCUACAUACUGAUACAGGAACAUGAUUCAAGAAUCUUUAAGCUGAGACGUGUUGAUUGUUUGAGACAUAAACUUUCCCUGAAGAGUUGAACUUAGAGUACUGGACACACUCUGUACAAUUUUCAGCUUUCUGACUGUUUGCAUACUGUUUCAAAGCUCUGCCUGACUCAAUUUCAAGAAAGUGAUACCUACCACAGAGACUGCUUUGAUCAAACUUCUCAGACCAUGCUGAACCUACGUGGAUCUGGACAUAAAUGCCUCUGAUUAUGCACUUCUGUUUCCCACAAGAGACCAGCUACAGGCAAAAAAACUAACUGAAUUAUGUAGAAGCCACAAGUGUAGGCUCCAGUUUUUCCUGUUCCUUGACUUUUCACUGAAUUUGACAUCUGGAGUACAGCACCAGUCUGAGAUUCAGCCUAAAGUAAAAAUAUUCUACCAAUCUAUUCCAAGUAUCAAGAGUCAGCCUUGCGAAUCUCACUUGAGAAGCUGAGCGCUAAAAUACAGACAAUGGUGAUACUGGAUAUCACCUGAGCUGUUUUGCUGAAUGCCUGUCCAGCACUGCUCCUAAUGGGAUGCAGUUAGUUCCAAGAGUUAGUGAAUAGUUCUGAGCUUGGCAGGAUUGAUACAUUUGUCACUACUAUGAAGUUUCUCACAGUGUAUGACCUUGUCUAUAUAGAUCUUUCUUGAAGCUAUUAACUGCAAUCCCAGGGGAUGUUCUACCUUUUCCUGAAAUAAGUAAAAACAGCAUUAUGAGCUAAAAAUAUUGCUGCAGAAGGUAGCUGACAUGAGAAAGUAUGAGGACAAUGGACACUGAGAUAAGAAAGACUUAAUUCAGUAAUAGAAUGAGAAAAAAAUUAAACCCCCAUAAAUAGACCCAAACUGGCACAUGACACAAAUUGUGCACAACAGCUCCGCUGCGUCAGGGUUGCUCUGGCUGCUGGUUCCAAGUAGCCUCCACUAACUGGUUUUGGGGGAUUUGUAAAUCCCAGUAAGGCAGCUGGGGCUGCUGCACCCUGCUACUCCUGCACUGGGAAGUAAGUACUGGCUGGAGGGAGGCAACCAGGUCAAGACAGAAUAUGUCAUCCUGCCCAGAAAAUACCACUUGCUGUGGUAAAAGCCUUCUUCCUACUUCCCCUUCUCCAACCCAUCCAGUUACCUACCUUACUUUUUGAAAUAUUUCCUUUUUUCCUACGUGAAUUUCCACAUAGUCUCACUUGGAGGUAUACUUGCUGUUUUUGAUAAAUGCCAUCCAUUAUUAACACAAUUUUCAUGUUGAAAAGUCUACUGUUUAUUUCCAAAAGAGCAAUGCUAAACUGAAACAUCUAAGGAAGGAUUGCCACUUGCUGAGUCUGAUGGUAGAAACACUUCCAGUAGUAAAGGAAACACAGAAGAAUCACUGUUGUUCAUAAAUAAUACACAGAAGAUGAAAGCAAGAGCUAAAGAACCACCUGUGCAAGUCAUACGAAGAAAAAAUAUGUUUUAUCAUAAAAGCUAGUGAAAAAAAAAAGGCUCAGUAAUUAUAAAAAGGAAAAUCAUUUAAAGCUGGAUCUUCUGUUCCUGUGGU